UACAGAGGGUGCGAGCGUUAAUCGGAAUUACUGGGCGUAAAGCGCGCGUAGGCGGCUUUGCAAGUCGGGUGUGAAAUCCCCAGGCUUAACCUCGGAACUGCAUUCGAGACUGCGUUGCUAGAGUAUGGGAGAGGGAAGUGGAAUUUCCGGUGUAGCGGUGAAAUGCGUAGAUAUCGGAAGGAACAUCGGUGGCGAAAGCGACUUCCUGGGCCAAUACUGACGCUCAUGUGCGAAAGCGUGGGGAGCAAACAGG
rnacentral:rRNA from 1 species